UACGGAGGGUGCAAGCGUUAUCCGGAUUCACUGGGUUUAAAGGGUGCGUAGGCGGGUUGGUAAGUCCGUGGUGAAAUCCCCAAGCUUAACUUGGGAACUGCCGUGGAUACUAUCAAUCUUGAAUAUCGUGGAGGUAAGCGGAAUAUGUCAUGUAGCGGUGAAAUGCUUAGAUAUGACAUAGAACACCAAUUGCGUAGGCAGCUUACUACACGAUGAUUGACGCUGAGGCACGAAAGCGUGGGGAGCAAACAGG
rnacentral:rRNA from 1 species